rnacentral:tRNA from 1 species
AAUGAAGAGCCUGUGGAAAGGAUUAUCAUGAUAGGGUAAAACACGUAGUAAAACUACCUUCAUUG